UACGUAGGGUGCAAGCGUUAAUCGGAAUUACUGGGCGUAAAGCGUGCGCAGGCGGCUUUGCAAGACAGAUGUGAAAUCCCCGGGCUUAACCUGAGAACUGCAUUUGUGACUGCAUGGCUGGAGUGCGGCAGAGGGGGAUGGAAUUCCGCGUGUAGCAGUGAAAUGCGUAGAUAUGUGGAGGAACACCGAUGGCGAAGGCAGCCCCCUGGGCCGACACUGACGCUCAGGCACGAAAGCGUGGGGAGCAAACAGG
rnacentral:rRNA from 1 species